AGCCGGCCAAACAAGGAAAAAGCCCACCAAAAUACUUUCCCACCCAAAAAAUUUCACUCCCCCGCCAAAGUGCUGAAGUAAAUAGGCGGACAAAAAAAGAAAAAAAGAAAAAACCCAUUUCAGAGUUUUUCUUCCCCAAAGAAGCUUCAACGAGAGUGUGGAAAGAGAGAGACCCGAAUCUCUCAUCUAUCGAUUUCUUUGGACGAACCGUGUUGGUGGCAGUAACUUGAGGAAAGAAAGCUUGAUUUCCUAAACUCAUCUUUCUCAGAUUGGACUCCGGACGGUGUCGAUCAUUCCGUCAGCGACCAGCGAAGAGGUUAGGGUUUUCAACCAGCGACGAAAAAUUGAAGUUGAAUCGAGCCACCAUGGACGACGUUUGGCCGGAGAAUCGAAGAGAUCUGGGGCAUAUUUCAGAAUGCUAUUUUUCUCUCGGUGGGAUUUCGCGAUCGCCUCUCUAGCACCCUUAUCCAUACUACAACAACGUUCACAGCCGCCACCAGGUGCCAGGCUGACUUCACACAUGGAGGAUGUGAUUGAUAGAGAUUUGUGUGAGCAGUUCCUAACAUUGCCGUUGGAUCUGCAAUGAAAAAUUGCAGAUGAAUUGGACAUAACUCCAACAGAGAUUUUGAAGAAACUUGAAGAAGUUCGAAAUAAGACCAUUUGAGAAUUAUUAGUCCUAAGGUAAAUUCAUGCCUGUGAUAAAUAAGGCAAUGGUAGAGCUUGAAGGAUUGAUUAUCACCAAUUCAUUAGGAGUAGAAGAAUCAGAAUUUCUAUGGUUCCAGUUUACAACAAAGUUACUUUCUUGGAUUUUGUACUGUGGAUUUUGCAGCUACUUCCUUGGAUUUUGUAUAGUGAGGUGGUUUUUUGACAAGUGCAGAUUGAAACUCAAAUGCUAGAAGGUUUAUCAAUAUUUCAACAGAAGUGUUAAGAAAUUGAUGAUUUUCUUGACAAAUGGAUGUACUUUCUGUUUUGGAACAUUGAUAAAUGAUGAAUUGUAAAAAUGUUUUAACUCUUUUGAUAUAUUUAAUGGGAUAUGUAUGUUUUUUGAAUUGAA